GGGCGUAAAGCGAGCGUAGGUGGCUUGAUAAGUCAGAUGUGAAAUCCCCGGGCUUAACCUGGGAACCGCAUCUGAAACUGUUAGGCUAGAGUAGGUGAGAGGGAAGUAGAAUUUCAGGUGUAGCGGUGAAAUGCGUAGAGAUCUGAAGGAAUACCGAUGGCGAAGGCAGCUUCCUGGCAUCAUACUGACACUGAGGCUCGAAAGCGUGGGUAGCAAACAGGAUUAGAUACCCUGGUAGUCCACGCCGUAAACGAUGUCUACUAGUCGUUGGGUCCCUUGAGGACUUAGUGACGCAGCUAACGCAAUAAGUAGACCGCCUGGGGAGUACGGCCGCAAGGUUAAAACUCAAAUGAAUUGACGGGGGCCCGCACAAGCGGUGGAGCAUGUGGUUUAAUUCGAUGCAACGCGAAGAACCUUACCUGGUCUUGACAUAUCUAGAAUCCUGCAGAGAUGCGGGAGUGCCUUCGGGAAUUAGAAUACAGGUGCUGCAUGGCUGUCGUCAGCUCGUGUCGUGAGAUGUUGGGUUAAGUCCCGCAACGAGCGCAACCCUUGUCCUUAGUUACCAGCGGGUUAAGCCGGGAACUCUAAGGAUACUGCCAGUGACAAACUGGAGGAAGGCGGGGACGACGUCAAGUCAUCAUGGCCCUUACGACCAGGGCUACACACGUGCUACAAUGGUAGGUACAGAGGGCAGCUACACAGCGAUGUGAUGCGAAUCUCAAAAAGCUUAUCGUAGUCCAGAUUGGAGUCUGCAACUCGACUCCAUGAAGUAGGAAUCGCUAGUAAUCGCGGAUCAGAAUGCCGCGGUGA
rnacentral:rRNA from 1 species